GAAAUGCGAUAAGUAAUGCGAAUUGCAGAAUUCAGUGAGUCAUCGAAUCUUUGAACGCAUAUUGCGCCCUUUGGCAUUCCGAAGGGCAUACCUGUUCGAGCGUCAUUAUCAACCAUCAAGCCUAGCUUGUCGUUGGACUUUCUUUACGGCUGAAAUAUACCGUAGGUCCGAAAGAUAAUGACGGUGUCGUGUUUGACCCUUAAAUGCAACGAGCUUUUAUUAGCACGCAUUGAAGUGGUUCGAUCGACCCGGUCUUAACCCAUUAAUUUUCUAAGGUUGACCUCGGAUCAGGUAGGAAUACCCGCUGAACUUAA
rnacentral:misc_RNA from 1 species